rnacentral:rRNA from 1 species
UACGAAGGGGGCUAGCGUUGCUCGGAAUCACUGGGCGUAAAGCGCACGUAGGCGGAUUGCUAAGUCAGGGGUGAAAUCCUGGAGCUCAACUCCAGAACUGCCUUUGAUACUGGCGAUCUUGAGUCCGGGAGAGGUGAGUGGAACUGCGAGUGUAGAGGUGAAAUUCGUAGAUAUUCGCAAGAACACCAGUGGCGAAGGCGGCUCACUGGCCCGGAACUGACGCUGAGACGCGAAAGCGUGGGGAGCAAACAGG